CGAUCUGGCUCAGGAUGAACGCUGGCGGCGUGCUUAACACAUGCAAGUCGAGCGAGAAAUAUCAGUGGAUCCCUCGGGGGGAAGCUGAAUAUGGACAGCGGCGGACGGGUGAGUAACGCGUGGGAAACCUGCCUUGUACAAGGGGAUAGCCUCGGGAAACCGGGAUUAAUACCCUAUAACACUUUGCUACCGCAUGGUAGAGAAGUCAAAACUCCGGUGGUACAAGAUGGUCCCGCGUCCCAUUAGCUAGUUGGUGAGGUAAUAGCUCACCAAGGCGACGAUGGGUAGCCGGCCUUAGAGGGUGAACGGCCACACUGGAACUGAGACACGGUCCAGACUCCUACGGGAGGCAGCAGUGGGGAAUAUUGCACAAUGGGGGGAAAAACCCCUGAUGCAGCGACGCCGCGUGAGUGAUGAAGGCCUUCGGGUCGUAAAACUCUGUCCUAAGGGAAGAUAAUGACGGUACCUUAGGAGGAAGCCCCGGCUAACUACGUGCCAGCCGCAGC
rnacentral:rRNA from 1 species